rnacentral:RNase_P_RNA from 2 species
GCAGGUCGAAGGCCAACAGGCUCGCCACGCAUAGGUCGUUUCGACGUCCAACAUUCGCGAGCGGGAAGGUCUGAGUAUGCUAAUCCUCCUAGAUGGGUUCUAGCAGGACCUGGCUGUCAGCAGCUAAACGACGAACCAGAAAAUCGUCUCAGGCCUCUGUCUGCCUGAAGACCUGCUCCGGCAGCGAAGGCAUGGAAGUCUGGGGCUUGAAAUCGUCGUGGGGAUCGGACGCCUCUUCGCUCUCUUCAUUCUCUACCUCGUUCACUCUAUCAGCCGCGAUGGCGCGCUCCAGGCGGCGCAGGGGCCGGCUUAGUCCUGCUCUGGUUGUGCUCCCUGGAGCUAGAAGUAGCCACUUUGACCAUUCGUACCUAUGGUCAUCGAAGCCCGCUGGAUGGAUCGAGAGCGUGGACACCCUGUCAUCGCCCACCACCCACACCCCGAAGAUGCACCUUGCGCCAAACGGGCUGCACCUUGCGUCGACUGGGCUGCAUUUUGCGUCAACCGCGCAGUACCGGGCCAGGAUAUCCUACACCAUAUCAGUCGUCCACACGGACACUGUCGUCGCUUUACCACCUGGCAGACCUCACUUUCUGCGCCACACGCUGGCAGACGCUUGCUCUCGCUUCGAGCUAUACCUCACACACAUAUGCGUCGCGGUCUGGCCUGAGCGACUCAGCGCCCCUGCUGAGGACCCACAGUCCACAUGGUUACAUGGAUAUACCUGAUAAAUCAAAACAAGUUGCACCUAUCUGAAAUGCACUGCAUAACUGCAUCGCUAGUCACUGUACUAGUCGGACCUGGUACAAUAAUCCGACGGUUGCAUGCUUCGGGGUUGCGGUACGAGGAGAGCGCGGGAUGGAGAGCGGAUAUCGGAGGAGCGUCCUUGAGCUCAAUUGUCGGCGCACGUCUUUGGACGUGGAACUCGAUUCAGACUACUCUUGGUCUGC